rnacentral:rRNA from 1 species
UACGUAGGGUCCGAGCGUUGUCCGGAAUUACUGGGCGUAAAGAGCUCGUAGGCGGUUUGUCGCGUUGUCCGUGAAAACUCACAGCUCAACUGUGGGCGUGCGGGCGAUACGGGCAGACUGGAGUACUGCAGGGGAGACUGGAAUUCCUGGUGUAGCGGUGGAAUGCGCAGAUAUCAGGAGGAACACCGGUGGCGAAGGCGGGUCUCUGGGCAGUAACUGACACUGAGGAACGAAAGCCAGGGGAGCAAACGGG